GAUGAACGCUAGCUAUAGGCUUAACACAUGCAAGUCGAGGGGAAACGGCAUUAUGUGCUUGCACAUUUUGGACGUCGACCGGCGCACGGGUGAGUAUCGCGUAUCCAACCUGCCCUUUACUUGGGGAUACCCCGUUGAAAGACGGCCUAAUACCCGAUGUAAUUCAUUGAUGGCAUCAGAUAUGAAUAAAAGAUUUAUCGGUAAAGGAUGGGGAUGCGUCUGAUUAGCUUGUUGGCGAGGUAACGGCUCACCAAGGCGACGAUCAGUAGGGGUUCUGAGAGGAAGGUCCCCCACAUUGGAACUGAGACACGGUCCAAACUCCUACGGGAGGCAGCAGUGAGGAAUAUUGGUCAAUGGGCGCAAGCCUGAACCAGCCAAGUAGCGUGCAGGAAGACGGCCCUAUGGGUUGUAAACUGCUUUUAUACGAGAAUAAUUUGAUGCACGCGUGCGUUAUUGCAUGUAUCGUAUGAAUAAGGACCGGCUAAUUCCGUG
rnacentral:rRNA from 1 species